rnacentral:rRNA from 1 species
GUGCCAGCCGCCGCGGUAAUACGGAGGAUGCGAGCGUUAUCCGGAUUUAUUGGGUUUAAAGGGAGCGUAGGCGGAUGUUUAAGUCAGUUGUGAAAUCUUCAGGCUUAACUUUGAAACUGCAGUUGAUACUGGAUGUCUUGAGUGCAUUAAAUGUGGGCGGAAUUUGUGGUGUAGCGGUAAAAUGCUUAGAUAUCACAAAGAACACCAAUUGCGAAGGCAGCUCACA